rnacentral:rRNA from 1 species
GAUGAACGCUAGCGGCAGGCUUAACACAUGCAAGUCGAGGGGUAACAGAGUAGCUUGCUAUUGCUGACGACCGGCGCACGGGUGCGUAACGCGUAUACAAUCUGCCUUGUACUGAGGGAUAGCCUUUGGAAACGAAGAUUAAUACCUCAUAGCAUUACAGUAUCGCAUGAUACAGUAAUUAAAGGUUACGGUACAAGAUGAGUAUGCGUCCUAUUAGCUAGAUGGUGUGGUAACAGCAUACCAUGGCAACGAUGCGUAGCCGACCUGAGAGGGUGAUCGGCCACACUGGAACUGAGACACGGUCCAG